GGAUUCCUAUUGCGCCCCCCGAGCAGUGAUCUUAUAAGAGUCUCGACUGUAGUUUGAUUGACCUUUCAUUUGGACUUGUCUUGCAGAACAGCUUGUGAAUUAAAAAAAACUCAAUAUUGUUUUUUUUUUGUUUCUCUCCUUCCAGGUUUGGAUCCGUUUGGGCUUCAGUUAAGGACAAUGCUAUCGUCAUCGCUAUUCGUCACGUGCACGAGUGAACAUGGCUCCGGCUGGUCGUUCCUGAGACGUCCUGGUGCCAAAACAUUCCCGUGAACAGCAACAACAACAACAACAACGUCAACAGACGACGACGACGAAUACAGCAGCGACAACGCGUCCAGACUUUUCCUCAACAAAUGCAACAACAACGACGACCGAAGCAGCGAAAAGUUUGCGACGAAUCACUUGUUGCACUACCCUGAAACGAUAACAACAGCAACAACAAUAGAAGCAAAAGAAGCAAAACCGACAACAACUCCAACGGAAGAAGAGGAAAACUUCCAGCGUGCAUAGUUACCGACGUCGACGACGACAACCGGGGAGACCCGGUUGCUGGUGAGUGCGAGAGUGUCAGUGUGAAGUGAGCGGUGAAGUGAAGGUGCAAGUGAAGCAACAAGUGUGUGCUCUGCACAGCAGUGCGGCAGCAGUGCCAAAGCAAUCCGGGGCGGCUAUCGCAGUAAGCCGCGGCGCGGAAUUUCGACGACGGCCGCCGCGUGACGGCAUUCCCGGACGGCGGCAUGGCGGACUGCUCGUACGCCCGGUGCGUCCAGGAACGGCGCUACAUCCGGCGGGAGCUGGCCAAGUGGACGAAAAAUAUGGUGCACAUAGUUGGUAAGUUUUUCCACUGUUUUUUUUUUUGUUUCUUCGAACGCUGUAUACAAUUUUUAGGUACCAACAUUCCCACAUAGAAGAAGCGUUUUUAAGAAAGAAAAACUGCACAUAAAAAUGUGGGGAAAGGAAGCAAAAAAUAAUUGAUUAAAUGACAUCGAGAGCACUCUCACUCCGACGUCGUCGUCGUCGUCGACGGCGGCUAGCCUCGCAUUCGUUUCAACAAGUUCGGAGCGUUCGGCUAUGCGGCAGCUCAGUGAAGCGAAAUCCUUUGUAUACUACUAUUCCGGGGAGAAGCCCCAACCCCCCACCGCCGCGUCGUC